CUCCGCUUUCUUCUUCAACAGAGGAGAAGGACACCGACUUGCUAAAACAAUUAAUAAGAACAUGGUUGUACUCUAACCAGUUCAUGCCAAGAAUCACAUCCAUUCCACUCAAAGGUAAACAAACUAAAUCCAUUUCAAAAUCACGAUCAUACAUAGACAAAGGACACCUUAAACACACAAGAGAAGUAGUUACCGAACCCUUAGCUGGAGUUUCGACAACCAUUUCUCCAUUCAUAUCAGACAUAGCAAGAUCCAACUUAGAAGCACAAUCAAGAGCAAUAAAACUAUGCGUAGCACCGGUAUCAAUAAUAGCAACUAAAGGAGUAUUAUUAAUAUAGCAAGUACCUCUGAUCAGGCGAUCCUCGUUCUCAGUCUGGGUACCCGUCAAUGCAAAAACUCUACCAGUAGUCUGCGCCUUCUUAGGCUGUUUGCACUGCGAACCAAUGUGACCUUCCUCAUUGCAAUUAAAGCACACAACAUCUUCAUGCUUACACUCAGCAAGUGUAUGACCUUUCUUACCACAGCGAAAACAUCUCUUCACAUCCCCAGGACAAGCAUCACUCUUGUGGCCUUUCACACCACAAGCAUAGCAGACAAUCUCAACAGGAGCAUCUUUCCUUCUAGGGCGCCUAUCCUCGACCAUUCUCUGUUUACCCUUAUCAGCAGGAGCACUGUAAGGCUUAGGACGACUCUGUUGUCCCUUAACUUUCUGUUCGUUCACAACCUUGUAGUGAGCCUUAGUAUCCUUUUCAUAAAUCCUGCAACUGCUCACCAGCUCUGAAAAAUUUCGGAUCUUCUGGUAACCAAUUGCCCUCUUGAUCUCAGCACGUAAAUCGUUCUCGAACUUGAUGCAUUUGGAGAACUCUGCAUUCUCAGCAGUAUAGUGCGGAUAGAACUUUGCCAAUUCCACGAACUUGGCAGCAUACUCAGUCACCGACAUGUUUCCCUGCUUCAGCUCAAGGAACUCUAUCUCUUUCUUCCCUCGAACAUCUUCCGGAAAGUAUCUGCUUAGGAACUCUCUCCUAAAUACGGCCCAUGUAACAACAGCACCAUCUUGUUCUAGGACAGGUAGAAGACUGAUCCACCAAUCAUCCGCUUCCUCAGCUAGCAUAUGCGUUCCAAAACGCACCCUCUGGUCCUCAGUACACUACAUAACUCGAAACACCCUUUCGAUCUCUUUGAGCCACGUCUGAGCUCCAUCAGGGUCAUAUCUUCCCUUGAAGGUAGGAGGAUGAUUCCUCAGAAAAGUUUCCAGCAUCCUCACUUCAGCAUUAGCACCCACAUUCGCAUUAGGUUGUUGCCCCACAGCUUGAGCAACAGCUUGCAGUGCAGCAGCGAUCGCAACGUCGUUUCUCCCAGCCAUUCUUAGUUCUCUACACAUCAACGACAAUUGAAAUAACAUAAGACAUUAUUACAACUGUUACUAGACUCGACACGACUCGACUCAACUACUUGGCCGGACGGACCGACCUGCUCUAAUACCAAUUGGAACACCCCGUUUUCCCAAUGUAAAAAUUUCUUAACAAAUAUCAGAGUAAACAAUCUCAUAAACGGAAUGCUACACUACUUAAAUCACAAAUGAGAUAAUUAACUAAUUAUCCUUUCAAAAAUCAUCAAUCAUAGAUAUUCCAAAACAUUGCAACGGAUUUAAUUCGUCAACGUAAAUAAGUCCUUGGCACGCAGGCCUUUCAAAAAUGUUUCAUAAAGAGAACGUAAACCAGUUUCAACAUGAUAGACAUAAAAUGGUGUUUAACAAAUACGUAUAGGAAUAAGAAAUUGCCACAAAAGUCCCCAUCCCGUUACGUAUCAGAGCACCUAAUAGACUCAGUGAGGGAUGACCACUCACGACAGCAAACCAAAGCAAGCUAAGCACGAUCACCUGCACGUUACCCACGGUCGAGGCAACAUUCAAACAGAAGGGGUGAGAUUUCAAAAAACAAUAACAUUAAGCAAAUAAUUCAACAAUUAUAUUUAACAACAUGAAACGUCAUAAAAUAUCUUAGAAUACUUCAACAAUGGCUCAAGAAAGCACAACUCACCACUUGACAUCUCAACAACUCAUCAACUUGGACUCGACAAUGCGACUAUGCAACUUAGACCUCUUAUAUACAUGUGGUAUCAAUCCGGGGCAUCAAGCCCCCAACGUAAUAAGUAUUAAUAUACUUCUAGGACAUCAAGCCCUCAACUUAGGUGAGCUAAAGCUCCAGGGCAUCAAGCCCUCAACGUGGUUGAGCAAAGGCUCCAGGGCAUCAAGCCCUCAACAAUGUAUGCUAAUGCAUGGACUAGACAACUCAACCUCUUAGAAACGACAACAUCUUAUAUAGUCCAAUAAUUUGGAACAUCUUCAACAACUUAUGACAACUCAUGCAACUCAAUAGUAGUACGACAGUACAUAGACAAUGAGCGACUCGACCCGUGACAUAACGAUAUCAAUGGGAUUCGACAACUUCUCAACACUCUUCUACAAUUCAAGUAUGGCAUAUAUGAAUAUAGCAAUGUCAACAACAUAGGAUCAUAUGAUUCAGGCUUACUAGAACAACAACAGCAAGAUAAACAACUUAGUUCCCAACCCCUAGGAUCAUCUCACAACACUCUUGCAACAAAGGUCUCUCAAAACUAAACAAGUGGUACCGAAACCACAUUGCUCGCUAUGGCGAGCUCAAGGAAAAGGCCUACUCGCCAUGGCGAGUUCAAGGUGAACUCGAGGCGAAUAAAACUGGGUGCUCUCGGGUGUUUUGCAUUUUUCACCUAAAAACUCCAUUUUUCUCUUCCCUAUUUCGAAUUUUGAUCUGAAACUUGUCCCAACCAUUCUUAUACAUAUUAAGGGACUCAAAAUCAUCUAAAGGUCAACUCAAGGGCCACUCUCAAAAUCAGGGUCUUACUCGCUAUGGCGAGUGACUUGUUCGCUGUGGCGAGCUGCAAGGUGCAACUCGCGAGGCGAGGGGAAUUGCUCGCAAUGGCGAGCGUUCUGGUCUACGCUUGCGAGGCGAGUGGUACUGCUCGCUGUGGCGAGCGAUGAAUAACAGCUACGGGCAGAAUGCAGUUCUAUACGAAAAAUCAUCCAAACUUAUGGUUUUAAGCCUAACUUUGAUUCCUAUAAUCAUCUUAGGACUUAUCUAAGGUCUGUCAACAGUUUCUACAUCAAUCUAACAAUUUUCCACCGUUUAAUUCUCAAAUUCACCUUAGAACCCUAAUAUUCAUCUUCUCUAAAACUCAACCUAAUUCAUGUAAAAUCUAAUCCUUGAAUCAUAAACUUAAUAGAAUUGUAGAGUUAGUCUCACCCUUACCUUAAACAAGCAGAAAUCGCAGCUCUCCUCUCUUUGCCUCUUUCUCCCUUUUUCUCCAAAACUUGUACGUACGUUAUGUUUUUCUAAACUAGGUUUUCUCUAUUUAUCUCUCUUUCUAAUUCUUCUUAUUUUCUCUUUCUCCCACAAAACUCUCUAUGAUAACAAAACAACCCCCUCACUAAAUAUUUUAUUUUGUUUUCAAAUCUUAUUUUAUUAAACAAUAAAAUAAGUCAUCCCAUCUACAUAAAAUCUCACCAAAUCACAUCAUUAUAUAAUUCCUCUAAAAAUCACACAUAUUAUAUAAUUAUAAUAUAAACUCUUCUUAAUAAAUACUAGAUUCGAUUAAGUGAUUAAAUAUUCCAAGGAGGGCGUUACACGAGUAGCCAACUAUUCGAGUAUGUCCUUUAUCUUCAUAGAUGAGACCUUUUCCAGGAGCACCUUUGAUGUAUUUUAGAAUCCGGAUAACAGCAUCCAUGUGUUCUUGGCAAGGAGAAUUUAAGAAUUGGCUUACCACACUAACUGCAAACGAAAUUUCCGGACGAGUGACUGUAAGGUAAUUCAAUUUCCCAACCACUCUCCUAUACCUCCCUGAAUCAGAUAACGGCUCCCCCUGAUUGGGUAGAAGUUUGACAUUAGGAACAAUAGGAGUAUCAACUGGCUUGGCGUUCAAAAGACCUGUUUCUUCAAGAAUAUCCAUAGCAUAUUUUCGUUGUGAUAUUACUAGACCAUCCUUAGAUUGGGCUACCUCAAUACCCAAAAAAUAACGAAGUUUACCAAGGUCUUUUGUCUAAAACUGAGUUGAGAGAUGUUGUUUCAACUGGUGUAUUCCCUGCUCAUCACUACCAGUUAUGACAAUAUCAUCUACAUAAACAAUAAGAUAAAUGCAUCCUUGGGUUGAGUGACGAUAGAAAACAGAAUGGUCAGCUUCACUGCGCAUCAUACCAAAUUUUUGCACUACUGUGCUGAAUCUGCUAAACCAAGCUCUAGGAGACUGCUUAAGACCAUAAAGGGAUUUAUGUAGUCGACAUACCAUAUUAGAUGACUCCCCCUGAGCAACAAACCCAGGUGGUUGCUCCAUAUAGACUUCAUCUUCAAGAUCACCAUGUAAAAAAGCAUUUUUGAUAUCAAGUUGAUGGAGAGGCCAAUGUCAAAUGGCUGCAAUGCAGAGAAGAAGUCUAAUUGAUGCCAUCUUAGCAACAGGUGAGAAAGUGUCGCUAUAAUCCAACCCAAAAAUUUCAGUGUAUCCCUUGGCAACCAACCGAGCUUUGAAACGAUCAAUCUUACCAUCUGGACCAACCUUCACCAUAUAGAUCCACCGGUAACCUACCAAAGAUUUCCCAGGAGGGAGAGGAACCAGUUCUCAAGUACCACUGCUAUGGAGAGCACACAUCUCGUCAAUCAUUGCUUGCCUCCACUCAGGGUUAGAUAAUGCUUCACCUGGAGAUUUAGGAAUAGAAACAGAGGACAAAGAAGACAAACAUGUGUAAUGUAAAGGAGAAAGACGGUGAUAACACAAAUCAAUAUAAUGAGGAGACGGAUUACGUGUUGGACGGAUACCUUUACGCACAGCAAUGGGAAGAUCAGACUCAGACUCUGGCAGCGGGACCGAAUCUGGUGAUGGAAAUGGUGUCAGAGGAGAAUCUGCAAUGGCCUCUGAGAUAUUACCAGGUGUAGGAACAGGCACAAUAGAGGGUGGUUAACGACGGUGAUAAGUUUGUAAUGGGCGAGAUAGUGAGGGAUCAACUGUAGGUGGAACUAGUGGGAUAGACUCAUGGGGUUCAGGUGCAACAAUUGUAGGCGAACCAGGAAUAAUUUCUAGAAGAAGGGGUUCAAGAUGAAAUUCCUGAAGAGGUUCCAAAGUCAUUUGGUUCGACUCAAAAAAUGGAUCAGACUCGAAGAAGGUAACAUUAGCCGAUACAAAGUAUCGUUGUAAUGUAGGAGAGUAGCAACGAUAACCUUUUUGGGACCGAUGAUAACCAAGAAAAACACACUUGAGUGAUCGAGCUGACAACUUAUCAAGGCCAGGAGAGAGAUUGUGAACAAAACAUGUGGACCCGAAGACACGGGGAGGAAGUGGGUGAAGAGGGGAAUGUGGAAAAAUAAUCGAAUGAGGAAUUUUAUCAUCAAGGACAGAAGAUGACAUAUGAUUUAUAAGAUAACAUGCUGUUAAAACAGCAUCCCCCCAAAAUUGGGAUGAAACAUUUCCAUGGAGAAGUAGGGUCCUAGUGGUUUCAAUGAGAUGCCGAUUUUUACGUUCGGCUACCCCAUUUUGUUGAGGUGUAUGAGGACAUGAUGUUUGGUGAAGAAUACCAUUAGAAGCCAUAAAAUUUUGAAAUUGAUGGGACAAAUAUUCACGAGCAUUAUCACUUCUUAAAGUACGAAUAGACACACCAAAUGAGUUUUAAUUUCUCUAUAAAAUUGCUUAAAAAAGGGAAAGUGACUACGAGUGUGUUUCCCUAACUGACACGACUCACAAUUUAAAUUAGUUAACUUAGACAAAUUUGGCAUCAACUUCUGAAGCUUGGGAAGACUUGGAUGACCCAACUGAGCAUGAAUAAUAAGUGGUGAAGUUGUGGCAGAGCAUGUCGUGGAUGAUAAAGAGAGGUAGUAAAGGCCUUGAGAUUCAUGUCCGACGCCAAUCGUCCUUCCCGAAAUCCGAUCCUGCACGACAACAUUAUUUUUAGUAAAAGUAACAAUACAAUCAUGAGAACGAGUUGAACGACUGAUGGAAAGUAAAUUAAAUGGACAACUAGAUACGUAAAGAACAGAAGACACUGAGAGGGAAGGUAGUAUUUGGACAGUACCAACCCCUUGAGAUCGGGUUUGGGAACCAUUGGCAGAGGUUAUAACAGGUAAGAACCCAGACGUACAAAAAGAAGAGAAAAGACUUUUAUUACCAGUAACAUGGUCAGAAGCACCAGAAUCAAGGACCCAUGGACCAAUGGGGGAUGAUUGAGAGAAGCAAGCAGAUGAAUUACCGGUGUGUGCAACCGAAGCAGUAGAACUAGGAUUUGGAUUACUCUGACACCACCGGAGAAAAUCUUCGUAGCUGACCUGAGACCCCUGAGUUUUAGAUGUUGCUUGAAUAUUGUCAGAAGGAGAAUCUACAUGGGCCGUAUUCACUUGAGGCUUACCAUGCAACUUCCAACAGCGAUCAAUUUUGUGUCCGAAUCGAUUGCAAUGCUCACACUUGGGACGAGACUUGGAUGAACCUCCACGAGAGCGGUUCUGAUUAUUACCAAGAGAUCCAAGGGCAGCUGUAUCACCUAGGGAAGGAGUUCCAGAUGGCUCAGUGGAAUACUUUGCUGGCACUCGAAGAAGGAUAUAUGUGGCAAUAUCCAUAUCCGGAACAUCAACAGACGCCAAAAUUUGAUCCCGAAUGGAAGAGUACUCGGGCGGUAAGCCAUAAAGAGCUAGUAGCAUGAAGAAUGUGUUGUGUUGCUUACGCUCCUUCACCUUUUCAACAGGAUCACUGGCGGCAGGAGGGAGAAACUCAUUAAAUUCAUUAAGUGCAGUGUGAACAUUACCAAUAUAUGUAUUGAUAGACCCAUCUAUCGUCUUUGAAUGAAUGAUGUUCAUCAUUCGGUGGCAUACUCCAUAGAGACAUUGUAUGUCAUUGGUGUAGAGUUUCUUAGCUUGACUCCAAACAGACUCACACGUGACAUGAGGACGAAAGAUCGGUUUGAUGUCUGGAUGAAGUGUUGACUUAAUAACACUGCACAACUGAGCAUCAAUCUUCUUCCACAUUGAUUUCUCACUAACUGGUACCUUGUCAAUCGAUUUAGUGAGAUGUUCUUCAUAUUCUUGACCUUCAACCCACAGUUGUAUAUCACCAAACCAACUAUCGUAAUUUGAUCCGUUCAAUUUUUCAACUGAAAGGGGAGAUGUGAUGUAGUUGGUAAAUAUACUUUUGUUAGCAUCAGAGGUGGUACUUUUGACAGAUUCAGAACUGUUUGUUGGAGAAGUGCCAGAAGGAUUGUUUGUAUAUCACGUAAUUCCGUGAAUUGAAACUGAAAACUGACACCGGAUCUGGAAUCAGCGAGGAAUUUCGAGACCGGAGAGCGAAACAGCAACCAGAACAGAAGCAGCGUGGAGACGCGUGGGAGGUUGGUUGCGGCGGAGAUUUCGGUGACAGGCCGGAUUUGUCAAGGAGAUUCAGAUGGUGGGUUUGAUUUUAGGAAAAAUCGCCGGAAAAAGCAGCUAUGGCGGCAGCAGUGGUGGUUUGGAGAGGAAAGUGGGCAAACCGGAGUUGAAACACGGUUUGCCGAAAAAAUUUCUCACCGGAAGACAGUAGGUCAACCAGGUAUUCACGGUGUAGGGUUGUCUCUCAAUAGGCUCUAGAUACCAUGUUGAAUGACAGAGAAAAGAGAGACAUAUGCUGAAAUAACCGUGUGACUGAAUAGCACUACGGAAUGUCUAUUAUAUAGAGUUAAGUAGCUUGGAGACUAAGCUAUGAUAUAUUUACAAAAUAAAUAUUCUACAUAAUAUUCUAUCCUAAUUUACUUAGAGAAUAAGGAAAAUAUAUUUACAAUGUAAAUAUAAUAUUUACUAUUUAUUUAAUCAAUAAAUAUCAAGAGGACUUUUAGGGGAAUUGUCUUUACUAGAUUUUCUAGGCAUUAGCUCUUUUUCUUCCCUCCUUGCUGUUUUAGGAGGGUUUGUUUCUUUUUUGUUGGAUUUGUUUCUCUUUGGUUUUUUGUUUCUGAGACUUUUUGUAUGAGGUUCAAGCUGCACCUGAAAACAGUUAUUGAAUUUUUUAGCUUUAUCAAAAAAAAAAAAUAACCAUGAGUGUUUGAUGGUUUUGGAUGGACAUAGAGGACCUGUGAGAUGUUUGGCUGCUUGUCUUGAAAUGGAGAAAGUUGUUGUAGGAUUUUUGGUUUAUAGUGCAAGUUUGGACCAAACGUUUAAGGUUUGGAGGAUUAAGGUUUUUUCUGAGGAUGAGAAUGUGUGUUUGGAUGGUGAUAAUAAUAAGUGUGAUGGGAGAGUGAAGAAGAUUAGGGAGUAUGAUAUGAGUCCUGUUUUGUCACCUUCUUGGGUUGAGAAGAAACUUCAGGGUAGUAGUCCCUUUCAGUAAAGGUUAUAUUAUAAUAUUAUCUGUUUUUCGUAAUAUGUUCCUAUUAUUAUGUUCUUUUUUGUAAUAUGUUCCCAUUAUUAUUUGUAUGCUAACCAGGACCUCUUUUUCUUCCAUGAAUCCCAUCAACCAAAAUGGAACACAUUUUUAAUCUCACUCUUUUGAACUAUCUCUCUUUUAUUUGUUGAAAAUUAGAUAGAUUCUACCAAAUUUAAGCUCCAUCCACAAAUAAUAAGAUAAUUUAUAAUGAUGUCAACAAAGUAAUUGAUCAAUGAACAAUUGUACAGUCUUCUCCCCUAUAAAACAGAGGAGGCACAGCCCAUUAGAGAGAAACAUUCUAAAUCUCUCAAUAUGAUUUUAGCUGUACAUAUUAAAAAAAUAAAAAUAUACCUUUUAUCGUCCAAAAGUGAAUUUCCUAACAAAUUAUGCUUGUGUUUUUUUUUAUUGUAAAAAAAAUGCUUGUAGAAACAUAAAGGAUAAAAAGUAGUGCCCAAUUUGAAAUUUCUUUGCGGUAAUUCUAGAGAACCUUAGGCCUCCUAUGAAAAAUAUAGGACAAUGAGAUUUAUUUAUUUUUCUUAAUCCUAGGGUUCCUAAGAAAAAAGCUCUAGUAAUGUGAAUUUGUAAGUAAGUGAAGUUUGAUAAGGAUUGUUUUAACUAAAUUUUAAGCUUAGAUUGUUUAGAACAAACAGUUUGUUUUUAACUUAAAUUUAUUGAUCUCUUAACUUCAACCUCUUGAUUUAGGACCACAAUAUUAUAUACUAAAAGAGAGCAUUUGAUACUAUAUUUAAUUUUAUUUUUUUUAUAAAUGACUAAAAUUCCUUGACAAAAUUUAUGUACAUUUCUUUAGAUGAUUUUUGUGUGGUUCUUCCCAUAAAAUUUACUUUUUAUGUUUAUAACAAACUUUGAGAAAUUUGUAGAUUUGAAAAAUCAUUGUUAGUGAUGAGUAUUUUAUGUGAAGAAUCACAUGAAGAAUACCUAAGAAAAUGCACCUAAGUUUUGUCCUAAAAUUAAAAAUAUAUAUUGUUUCAACUAAAAUUCAAACUUGUCUCAAACAAACAAUUCAUUCUUAUCUAAAAUUCAUUAAUCAUUUAACUUCAACCCUUUGAUUUAAGGACAGAAAAAUAUAUAGUUAAAUGACUAAAACUAAAAGUAUAUAUUGAUUAUUGAUACUAAAAAGUAGAACAUACUUUAACUAUAUAUUUUUGUGUCCUUAAAUCAAAGGGUUGAAAUUAAAUGAUUAAUGAAUUUUAGAUAAGAAUGAAUUGUUUGUUUGAGACAAGUUGAAAUUUUAGUUGAAACAAUAUAUAUUUUUAAUUUUAGGACAAAACUUUAACUAAAAAGACUAUAAAGUAUGUUCUACUUCUUCAAUUUUAGAGAUAUCACUUAGCCUCUAUUAGUAUAAACAGCUUAAUUAAGUGCUUAUAACAUAAGCAUUUAUCAUUUUAAUUUCUUCAUAUUAUUUUCAUAUAAGCUGUUUCCAUAAGCUCUUCCAAACAUACUCAGAAGUGUUAAUGAAAGUAGAUAAGCUCAAAUAAGUCAAUUCAAAUGUGUGUGAAAUUUGACAGAUUCUACACUGAAUGCCUUGGCAUGAAGCUGUUAAGAAAACGUGAUAUACCAGAAGACAAAUACUCAAAUGCUUUUCUUGGAUACGGGCCUGAAGAUUCCAGUUUUACGGUUGAACUUACUUAUAGUAAGUUGAAAUCUUAAUGCUACUUUUUUUUUUGGCAAAAUCAUUAUGCAUAUCAUUUAUAUGUUUACCACUUACACAAAAUUGUGUCUCAUCAUAGUUGCUAUUUCGCGGUGAUUGCAGAUUAUGGAAUGGAUAACUAUGACAUUGGAACUGGUUUUGGUCAUUUUGGUAUUAUAGCUGAAGAUGUAAGCUCUUCAAAAAGAUAAUAAAGCAUUAUUGUCUAUCUUCAAUGCAAAGCAUUUAUCUGAUUUCUACUAUGCAUUUUUGAAUUCCCUUAUUAUGAUGAACAUUGAACGACAAGAAUCAAAGAGAGAAUUGAUCUGUAUGAAAGGAAAGACUAAACAAUUAAGACUAUUUUGGUUUUAUACUGCGAUUUUGCAGGUUUCCAAGACAGUAGAUAUUGUAAAGGCGAAAGGGGGAAAGGUUACAAGAGAACCAGGGUCUGUCAUAGGUGGCUCUAUAGUAACUGCUUCCGUUGAAGAUCCUAGUGGUUAUAGGUUUAAGCUUUUGGAGAGAAGAACUACUCGUGAACCCUUAUGCAAAGUGAUGCUUCGAGUAGGUGACCUUGAUCGUGUCAUAGCCUUCUAUGAAAAAGUGAGUGUAUUUAGUUAAUGUAAUUAUUAUGAUGGUUCUUUCUUCCUGCUUAGAUGCAAACACACGCAAGAGGCUAAAUGUUUUUCUUGUCUUUGUUAAUUUCAAAGGCUGUUGGCAUGAAACUUCUCCACAAGAUAGACAACCCUGAGGAAAAGGUAAACUACUUGUGGUUGUUAAUCAGAUGCAUGGCUAUCCGUGUUCCUGGCAUUACUGUUUUGAUUGAUGUUUGUAAUAUAUGCAUAAUAAAGAUUAUGAUUGUUCUUUUGUCAUUGAUUAUGAUUGUUUUUCAGUACACAGUAGCCAAGUUGGGAUAUGGUCCUGUUCUAGAACUGACGUAUAACUACGGCGUCACUAAUUAUGACAAAGGAAAUGGCUAUGCACAGGUAUAUUCUAUUCUUUUUCUAUUUUCAGAAGAGGGUUUUAAUAAUUAUUACAUGGUCCUCCAUGAAUGUAUAAUGCAUGUCGUUAUAAGAAUGUGGCUAUUUUGUACAGAUUGCUAUAGGCACGGAUGAUGUCUAUAAGACUGCAGAAGCAAUCAAAUCAUGUGGAGGGAAGGUUAUCCGCGAACCUGGACCCUUACCUGGUAUCAACACCAAGAUCGUUGUUUGCUUGGACCCUGAUGGUUGGAAAUUGGUAUGGCAUUUUUCAAUCUUUUCCUUGUAUUUGAUGUAAUAUGUUCUUUGAAACCUUCCUACUGUGUUAACCUCUCUAUGUCGCUCAUUGUUUAUGUCACUGAUGUUGGUCCCACCACGUGGGGUAUGUUCCAGCCAAAAGGAAAAUUGCAACAAGCAAUUGUCAAAUUCUUCUACACAUUAAAUGCAUGGCUUAGUUUUUCCUUUCAAAUAGUUUGGCUAUGUAUAGGUUGUGCAGAGAACACACAUAGCUUGCGGUGGAGCAGUUUGAAAGCAUGACAUAAAAUAUAGUUUUCACACAUUAAGGACAUGACUUUGGUGUGAAAGGAGGGCAUAGCAUUUAACUCUUCAUCAGCCGAUUUCCCCUAUAAAUAGAGGGGUACUUGAAGGAAUGAAAUCAAUGAAGCAGAAGUGAAAAUACAAAGUUUCUGUGUGUGUAGAAGUGUGUGAGAGGAAAAAUAGAGUGUUGAGUAAAUCCAGAGAGUGUGGGAAAAAUACACCGGGUGGGUAUCAUCUCUAUAACUUCUAGGUGCUAUAAAAUAAUAGCAUUAGAAUAGAAGUAGGUCUCACGGGAAACACUAUAUUGUAUCUCUUGUGUGUGUGAGAGAGUGGAGAGAAUAUUGUAAUAUUCUUUAAUAUAGUGGAAUAUUUUUCGGAGUUUGUCCCGUGGUUUUUCCCUCGGUAUUAGAGGGUUUUCCACGUUAAAUAUUGGUGUUCAUUUUUUUUAUCACUACCGCUGCGCUGCAAGAUCCAGUCUCUUUUGGAUUUUGGAAUUUUAAUUUACACUUGCGUUAAGCUCGUCGAGCCCAACAAGUGGUAUCAGAGCUCCGGUUGGAGCUUGAGAGUAUAGUGUAAAUUAAAUGGAGGAGAAAACUGGUAACACUGGUACGAUGAUUAAACUCACUUCUACAAACUACUCCAUUUGGAAGCCAAAAAUGGAGGAUAUACUUUACUACAAGGAUAUGUAUGAUCCUGUAGAAAAGGGAGACACGAAGCCAGAUAAGGUGACGGAUGAAGACUGGAAAAAGUCUCAUCGGAAGGUUGUCAGUCUGAUUAGGCAGUGGGUGGAUCUUAGUGUAUUCCACCAUGUGGCCACAGAGACAAAUGCCCAGACUCUGUGGAAGAACAUCGAAAAGAUGUAUCAAAGAAAGACCGCACAAAACAAAACUUUCGCUAUAGAAAGUUGGUGAAUCUAAAGUACCGAGAGGGAAGAUCAGUUGCCGAGCACUUGAGUGACUUUCAAGACUUGGUAAACCAAUUGGUUGCCAUGAAGUUGGUGCUGGAUGAUGAAUUACAAGCACUAUUACUUUUGAGUUCUUUGCCAGAAAGUUGGGAGACUUUGGUGGUGUCAUUAAGCAACUCUGCUCCAGAUGGAGCGCUCACUUUGUCCCAGGUAAAAGAUAGUAUGUUCAAUGAAGAAACAAGAAGAAAAGACAUGGGAUCAAGUAGCUCUCAGGCCCUUGUCACGGAGAACAGAGGCAGAAGCAAGAGCGGGGGGAGAUCCAAUAAAUCCAAAGACAGAUCACAAUCUCAACCUCGAAGAAAGUUCAAGUGUUUUCACUGCGGCGAAGAAGGUCACAUCAAAAGAAAUUGCAAAUCUUGGAAGAACAAAGAAAAGAAGGACCGGAGGAAUCAAAGACCAGACGAAGAUGAAAAUACCACAACCCCAGUAGUUGAUGGGGAAGUGGUGUUGCUUUCUGUUGAAGAAGAAGAAUGUCAUGUUGCAGAUUCAUGUGUUGAAUGGGUCAUUGACUCAGCAGCUUCUUAUCACGCUACUUCCAAUAAAGAAUUCUUUACAAUGUACAAAGUAGGAGACUUUGGCAAAGUAAAGAUGGGCAAUAAUAGCAUUGCAGAUAUUGUUGGAAUUGGUGAUGUGUGUGUUCAAACCAAUACCGGUUUUACACUAACACUGAAGGACGUGCGACAUGUGCCAGAUUUGCGUCUAAAUCUAAUCUCUGUCCAUGCUCUUGAUUUAGCCGGAUUUCAAAACAACUUUGGUGAUGGAAAAUGGAAACUUACCAAAGGAUCGUUGAUGAUUGCUAGAGGCGUCGUGUAUUCGACGCUUUACAAAACUCAAGUCAAGCUGAUCAAAGAUGGCUUGAAUGCGGUCGAGAAUGUUGCUUUGCCAGAUUUGUGGCAUAAAAGGCUGGCUCAUUUAAGUGAAAAAGGAUUGCAAAUUUUGUCAAGGAAGUCCCUCAUUCCGUCUGACAAAGGUACUAAGUUGAAUCCUUGUGAUUAUUGUUUGUUUGGCAAGCAACAUAGAGUUUCUUUCAGCAGAACUUCAAAGCUGAAAGAUAAUAAAUUGGAUAUGGUGUAUUCUGAUGUGUGUGGACCCAUGGAAGUGGAGACUCUUGGUGGUAGCAGAUAUUUUGUGACGUUUAUUGAUGAUGCUUCAAGAAAGGUGUGGGUGUACUUCCUUAAAAGUAAGGAUCAGGUGUUUCAGUACUUCAAAAGGUUUCAUGCGAUGGUGGAGAGAUCGACUGGUAAAUCUUUGAAGUGUCUUCGUUCGGAUAAUGGGGGUGAAUAUACUUCCCAUGAAUUUAAAAGUUAUUGUUCUGAGCACGGCAUCAGACAUGAGAAGACGGUUCCUGGCACCCCACAACAUAAUGGUGUAGCUGAAAGAAUCAACAGAACCAUUAUGGAGAAAGUGAGAUGUAUGCUGAAAAUGGCUAAGCUGCCAAAGCCAUUUUGGGGAGAAGCUGUUCAAACCACAUGCUACCUGAUUAACAGAUCUCCAUCUGUUCCUUUGGGCUUUGACAUUCCUGAGAGAGUAUGGUCCGGACAUGAUAUAAGUUACUCUCACCUGAAGGUAUUUGGAUGCAAAGCCUUUGCUCAUGUAAAUAAGGAGCAUAGACAAAAACUUGAUGAUAAAGCCAUUCCUUGCAUAUUUGUGGGCUAUGGAGAUGAGGAAUUUGGCUACAGGUUAUGGGAUCCAGAGAAGAGAAGAAUUAUUAGAAGCAGAGAUGUAGUGUUUCAUGAGCAAGAAACUAUGUCAGAUUCUGCUAUUCUAGAAACACCUAAACGUUAUGGUAAGGUUGAUCUUACACUUACCACUCCUCCUGUAAGAGUUGCCACAGAAGGGGGAGAUCUUGAUGAAGACCCUGGGGUUGAUGGUGAGCCAGUAGUUGAAGAUGGUGAUGAUGAAGAUGUUCAAGAUGGAGAGCAAUCCACAACAUCUCAUCUCAGGAGAUCAAGCAGAGAUCAUCAUCCAUCUACCAGGUACCCUAGUUCGGAGUACAUCCUCAUCACUGAUGAGGGGGAGCCGGAAAGUUUCGAUGAAGUUCAAACUCAUAAGGAUAAAAUCCAAUGGAUGAAAGCAAUGCAAGAAGAGAUGGAUUCAUUGCAGAAAAAUGAUACUUAUGAACUUGUGAAACUUCCUGAAGGCAGAAAAGCCUUGAAGAAUAAAUGGGUGUUCAAGCUCAAGAAAGAUGGUGACAAGCUAGUGAAGUACAAAGCUCGCUUAGUCGUAAAAGGUUUUGGACAAAAGCGAGGAAUAGAUUUUGAUGAAAUCUUCUCUCCAGUUGUUAAGAUGAGUUCAAUUCGAGUUAUACUCGGAUUAGUUGCUAGCUUGGAUUUGGAGCUUGAACAAAUGGAUGUAAAGACUGCAUUUCUUCAUGGAGAUUUAGAUGAAGAGAUCUACAUGGUUCAACCAGAAGGAUUUGAGAAGACUCGAAAGGAGCACUUGGUUUGCAAAUUGAAGAAGAGCUUGUAUGGAUUAAAACAAGCACCAAGACAAUGGUAUAAGAAAUUCGACUCGUUCAUGAUGAGUCAUGAAUAUACCAAGACAGAUGCAGAUCAUUGUGUAUAUGUCAAAACAUUUCGAGGUAACAAAUUCAUCAUCCUUCUGUUAUAUGUAGAUGAUAUGUUGAUAGUGGGGCAAGACGAGGAUAUGAUUGGUGAUUUGAAGAAGGAAUUGUCAAAAUCCUUUGACAUGAAAAAUCUAGGCCCUGCAAAGCAAAUCUUAGGCAUGAAGAUUUUGCGAGACCGAAAAGCUAGAAAGCUAUGGUUGUCACAACAACAGUAUGUGGACCGGGUUCUAGAAAGAUUCAACAUGAAGGGUGCUAAACCAGUUAGCACACCGUUAGCCAAUCACUUUAAACUCAGCAUAGUGAGUUGUCCUACUAGUCAAGAUGAAAAAGAAGCUAUGGUUGCAAUACCUUACUCCUCAGCAGUUGGGAGUUUGAUGUAUGCAAUGGUUUGCACCAGGCCAGAUAUUGCUCAUGUAGUUGGAGUUGUUAGCAGGUUUCUUUCCAAUCCGGGAAAAGAACACUGGGAAGCUGUGAAGUGGAUCUUGAGGUAUCUGAAAGGAAGCUCUAAUAAGUGCUUAUGCUUUGGAGGAUCAAAUUCGAUUUUGAAAGGCUACACAGAUGCGGAUAUGGCAGGUGACCUGGAUGGUAGAAAGUCUACUUCAGGAAUUGUGUUUACUUUUGCAGGGGGAGCUGUAUCUUGGCAAUCUAAAUUGCAAAAAUGUGUAGCCUUAUCAACAACCGAGGCAGAAUAUAUUGCCAUGGCUGAAGCAGGGAAGGAAAUGCUUUGGCUAAAAAGAUUUCUUGAUCAAUUGGGAAUGAAGCAGGAAAGGUACGUUAUCCAUUGCGAUAGUCAAAGCGCUUUGGAUUUGAGUAAGAAUGCGAUGUACCACUCUCGUACAAAGCAUAUUGAUGUCAGAUAUCAUUGGUUGCGUCAAGCAGCGGAAGAACAACAAUUUAUGUUGGAAAAGAUUCACACCGAUAAAAAUCCCGCAGAUAUGUUGACGAAAGUUGUAGCACGUGAAAAGCUUCAACUUUGUGCCGAGUUGAUCGGCAUGGAUCGCCGGUGAAUGAAUUGCGAGGAUAUCUCCCUUUGGCUGGAGGGGGAGAAUUGUUGGUCCCACCACGUGGGGUAUGUUCCAGCCAAAAGGAAAAUUGCAACAAGCAAUUGUCAAAUUCUUCUACACAUUAAAUGCAUGGCUUAGUUUUUCCUUUCAAAUAGUUUGGCUAUGUAUAGGUUGUGCAGAGAACACACAUAGCUUGCGGUGGAGCAGUUUGAAAGCAUGACAUAAAAUAUAGUUUUCACACAUUAAGGACAUGACUUUGGUGUGAAAGGAGUGCAUAGCAUUUAACUCUUCAUCAGCCGAUUUCCCCUAUAAAUAAAGGGGUACUUGAAGGAAUGAAAUCAAUGAAGCAGAAGUGAAAAUACAAAGCUUCUGUGUGUGUAGAAGUGUGUGAGAGGAAAAAUAGAGUGUUGAGUAAAUCCAGAGAGUGUGGGAAAAAUACACCGGGUGGGUAUCAUCUCUAUAACUUCUAGGUGCUAUAAAAUAAUAGCAUUAGAAUAGAAGUAGGUCUCACGGGAAACACUAUAUUGUAUCUCUUGUGUGUGUGAGAGAGUGGAGAGAAUAUUGUAAUAUUCUUUAAUAUAGUGGAAUAUUUUUCGGAGUUUGUCCCGUGGUUUUUCCCUCGGUAUUAGAGGGUUUUCCACGUUAAAUAUUGGUGUUCAUUUUUUUUAUUGCUACCGCUGCGCUGCAAGAUCCAGUCUCUUUUGGAUUUUGGAAUUUUAAUUUACACUUGCGUUAAGCUCGUCGAGCCCAACAACUGAUUGACUUAUUUAUUACUUCUUGCAGGUAUUUGUUGAUAAUGUUGAUUUUCUGAAGGAACUAGAGUGACAAUAGCAUGGUUGUAGCUAGAUCCUACACUUCUUCAGUAAACUUAUAGUAGGCUACUAGGCCAACAAUUUUUUCAGAAAAAUCUUAUAACUAUAAAAAGUCCCUCCAAUCACUAUAUAUGAGGGGGGAAGGGAAGAAAAAAAAAACAUAUUUACAGCAAUCACAAUUUCAUCCUUAUUAUUUUUUAGUAGGCGCGGCAAUUCAACAUGCACUGGAUUCCCUCUAACCAUAACUGUUUGUCUUCUUUACUUCCGCAUUCAAAUUCUAUUAAUCUAUCUGCUGUUUUUAUUCCAAAAUAUGCUCUCUUUUUGCCGUUGCCUUUUCCCUUCCGGGCCAAGCUGGGAUAUCGCUGCACACUCCGGUGACUAUAUCUGUCAUUUUAUAGGCCAUACCUUAACAUUGCUUACAGUAACAAAGAGUAAAAUAAGUAAGUUUUGCAUACUGAAACUUGGCUUACAUUUCUUCUUUUUUGUGAAUGUUCCUGCAAUAUGCUUGCUUUUCAUUUUGGCUACUACCUGUAGUCAUUGUGUUGAAUAGAUAUUUCAAAUAAUUAUAUAAUUGAGAUAUAGAUGCUACCAAUAACUCAUGUGUGUGAUUUGUUAAUGAAUGUAGGAGUGUCUUCAAUUAAUUACCUGCAAAUUUGAAUUAAUAUUGAAAGAGACUUGCUUCCAGUGAAGAACUCCUGUUAUGGACAUUUAAAAUAGUAUUGUACUUACAUUAGAAGCGUAAACUGAUUUAUACAUUUGGUAUUCUUCUUUUAUUCUUAAAUUUCAAUGAAGUCAUUGUUACAAACAUGGCAGUAGACACUAGACAUACCUUUUCUUGUAUGUUUGAGAAGUACUCCUCCUCUAAAGACACAGUCCAGUGCUGUCAACAUGUUUGCUUCUUUGGCUUCACCGCACUUCUCCUCAACUGUUGGAAUCGUAGUAGCUCCAAGCCCUUUCUCCAUACGUGCCUUCAAAGUAGCAGCUCCUCGCAAUGCUGCCAUUUAGUUCAUUAUAUUUUCUCUUAUUUUGUGGUAGAAUUUGUUUGACAGAAUCAAUAGAAAUGAACUCAGAUUGUAGGUUUUAGCUCGAACUUUCAUACCAUUACGUUGCUCAUACUUAAUUGUUCUUUCUUUUUAUUCUCCUUUGAGCCAUUAAAACUGGUCUGGUGUUUGAUUUUUACAUUGAAUGUAAAUAUACCAAAUUUUGCUUUUAGUCCCUGUAAUUUUUCUUGUUUUGUUUUUAGUUUGUGUAAAUAUAUCACUUUUUCCUUUUGAUCCUUGAUUUUUUUAAUCCCUACAAAAUUUGUUCAUUGGUUUUUGUAAUAUUCAUUUUAGUUCUUAUUUUGAGAUUAAAAUCAAAUACUCCACAAAUUACAGGGACCAAUUUAAACAUGAAUAAAUUUUGCAAGGACUCAAACAAAAAAAACAAGGACGAAAAGCAAAAAUUGGUAUAUUUGCAGGGACUGAAAACAAAAAAUAUAUAUAUUUUUACAAGAAUUAAAAGCAAAAAUUGAUAUAUUUGCAGAGACCAAAAACAUAGUUAAACCUAUCGAAAUUAAAAAAUAAAUUAAACUGUUGGUAAACAAGGUUCAAUUUUGUUUCAGAUGAAUAAAUCAACUUUAAAUUCUGAUACCUGUGGCUGCUCCGGCUGUUAGAGUCAUAAUAUCUCCAUUGGUUUUUGCAUUAAUAGCAGAGUCAACUGCUGUUAUGAUUUGGUCCUGUUCAGCUCCCAUAUCUUCUGCAAUCUCAAUGCAAUGAGAGGCUACUAGAGCUGUGGCAGAUGCAAUUGCAGCAGAAGCCAUGGUAGGGUUCUUUUGGUUGGGAUUAGGCUUUUCGGAUGAUGCUAUUGAAGCCGCAACUGCUGCAACAGCGGCAGCAACACCAACUACAGAUACUGUGGCGUGCAACUGAGCAUUAUGAGUCCUGAUUUCCUGUUUUUUCCUCUCCUUCUGAUCUUUCAACCACCUACCCGUAGUCCUCCCUCUUAUUAAGCUCCUGUAAAGCUGAUGAGCAAAAAUUUGCACAAAAAAUUAACGAAAAUAGUUACAGAUUGAGCAUUUAUCUGAUUAUAAUUGAUGAAUAUAAUCACAUGUUGAAUGCAAGAUACCCCAUUUCUCAGCAAGUUUUGGCUGGAAAGGAAUUCUGGAGAAAGUGCUUGGUGAAGUAAAAAUAAAUCCUGCAUAUGAAUGAUUACUGUUAUUUCAUUUAUAUAUACCAAAGAUUUAAUCGCUGUGCAAAAUUAUUUCUUGUGCUUUAUGAUUAUAUUCAUGAACCACACAAGUUUAACAUGAGUAGUAAGUAAAGUAAAUACCUUUGUUUCGCUACUGUCUCUUGGCGAAAUCUGAUGAGAAUGUCCGUCAGAUAGCUGCUAAACAUAACUUGUAUCAGAAGUUCAGAACCAAUACAUAGAAGGAACUCCAUAGAUUCAGUUGGGGUAUCAGGUGCAGCGCAAGAUGAUGCAGGCCUAUCUACAGGAACAUUCUCAUCUAUGUUCUCCAGCUGAUUAACUGAGCAUUUAGAGACUGAGUUCACUGUCAUUGAAAUUAAUCACAGAAAAUGAGUUAAAUAUUUUCAUGAGAAUGGACCUUGAACAUAAGAAUUAAAAGUAGUUUGGUUUCAUUUUUGUUCAUAUUAAGUAGUAAUGUUGAAAUGGAAAACAACUUUCUCUCUUUUACCAAUUUUAACACUCACUUGUAAAGAUGAAUGAAUACCCUAAAGCUUCAAUCACUCAAGAGACCAAUAUGAUGAGAGAACUUAUGAGCAAUAGUUAGAUAUUUAAAAAGAAAACGUGAUGUUGUACCAACGUGCUUUAUAUUUGCCAACGUAGGUUGGUCCAGCUGGUAAGGAGUUGACUCAUACCCUACAAAGAUGUGGAUUCAACUCCACUUGUCAGUGUUAUGACCUCGGUGGACAAUCUAAAAGUACUUUUGUAAACGCUCUGAGACAUGAGGCAUAUCUGUCUCUGACAAACCUCCAAAAUCAAAUUCAGUAUUAUUUUGCCUGAACAAAAAAAAUAGUGCUUUUUAUUUAGGAUGAUAAAAACAACAUAAAAGAAUCUUAGUGAUGAACAAAAGGACCCAAUUGAAAGGCCAUUUAUAUUUGACUCCACUUUAGUUGUAUCUUUUCAUUUCCACCUCUCAGUGCUUUAUGCAUAAAGAGUUAAAGACCUGUUUUUAUGGCAGCGGAGUUCAUCAUUAUAGGAUUAUUCUUUGUCACCAUUAUCAUUUUUUAAAGUAGAAUUUGGGGACCCAUUUAUAUGCACACGCGCUAUUUCUUUAGUUUAUUGUUUUACAGAAAUAUCUAUAAACUUCUAUGAGUUUAACAUAUGUACAUUUGUGCCUGCUAACUCAGCAUUUUACCUUGCUUUAAGAAAAAACAACUCAACAUUUUACCUCACCAUUGACAAUGUCAUUCUGCAAUCUGCCCCACAUCACUCCUUUUUUGUCGACUAAAGAAAAUGACUGUUCUGGACAGGGCCUAGGCUCAAUCCAUAAGAAACUUGACAUAACGCAAACAACCUAACCAAGGGUCAAAGCUUCUUCAACAAGUCAAUAACGGCUCGCAAGGACAACGACCGAAACAAAGGCGGGGACAAGGGCGAAUAUUAAGGAGACGUAAAAACUGUUACAAAUUCAGUCGUUAAACGCUCAACUCUUGGAAAUCUCCUCAGGGCAACUAUAAGAACCACAUGAGAUGGAGAGAAAGGUACACACUUUCUCUAUUCCAUGUAUCUCUUACUUCCGCUUCGUUUACUUACAUGGAUGUCGGAGUGUUUGCAGGUACUUCCCCAUCAACAUACUUGAAAUACUGCUCAACCGUCUUCCACGGAGCCAACUUCUCGAUCCAGUUCAGAUCAAUGACAGAACGAUUCUUUCCUUCUUUACCUCAUUAUCUUUAAUUUUGUUACUCUUUUUUUUGUUGAAAGAUUUAAUUUUGCUAUUCGUUUAUUGGAGUGGGAAAGAACAUGCAUAAAUAAUUUUGGUUUUUUUGACAGUGUAUAAACAAUGGUUAGAUUACUGCAAUUUGUCAUAUUAAGAGUUCAGUCAGUUGGUAAUCCUUUAAGAAAGGAGGUUUUAAAUUGCAUUAUGACAUGAUUCUUGAUAUCAUAGACAAUUAUGGAAAAGUAGGGCUGAUGCAAGAAAGGAUUCCUUGGUGAAAUUAUUGUCAAGUGGAAUAACAAAUUAGAGAGUUGAUUAGAGAGUUGCUUGCUAUGAAUUUCUCCCAUUCUAACUACCACGAGAAUGUUGAUUAGAAAUUAGAAUAACAUCAAGUCCAAGAUGACAAGUCUAAGUGUCUAACUGUCUAAGUAGCUAUCCAAUACCAAAUUCAACAAAAUAUUUGUUUCAAAUAUGAAUAAUUUAGUUGGGAAACGGUUACAAUCAAAUUGAAUGCUAGAGAACCUAACUGUACACGUGAAAAGACAAACAAAUUUGUGUACUAAAUGCUUGAAAGAAAAUCAAAAGGAAGUUAAAUAAUGUCUAAUACAAAAAUAAGAAGGGUUAAUAGUGUUUUACCCCCUCUAAUAUAGGGCACUUUUGGUUUUGCUCUCUGUAAAAAAAUAAAUUUAGAUUUCGUCCUCGUAAAAUCAAGAUUCUUCAUAAUUGCCCCCUGAGCCAUCUUUUUCUCUCUAUUUCAAUCUAAAUAAGUGAUUUUCACAAGGAUCUAAGUUUUUUUCUUUGUGAUUUCACCAUCUAAGUGUGGUGGUUUGUUGUUCGUAGUCUUGUGCGUGUUGUUUGAUUUUCUGUCUUCAUGCGGUGUUCAUUUGAUUCAUAUUGAAAGAUCGACUAUUCAAUCAAAGAUUUUGGCGUCAACGUUGCAGAACCGGAGACCAUGGAUAUUCCGGUCACUUUAAUUUUAUCAAAUUUUUUGUAGGCAUUAUGUAACACCCCGUUUUCCCAAAAUGAAAAUUUCUCAUAACAAUCAGAGUAAAACACCUUAAACGGAAUGCUACACUUCUUUCAAACGUAAAUAUAGUAAAAUUACUAUUCAUUUUCAAUCGUUUUAUAAUACCAAAUUAAAUCUCAAUGCAACGGAAAAUAUCUUAAUAAAACAUCAUGUUGGCACAACGGCUUCAACUUAACAACUUAUUAAAAUCCAAACUAAAUAGUUCUUCAACAUAAAAAUCAUAGCAAGUACGUAACAUAUGGAAAACAAGUAAGAUCCCCAUCCCGUUACGUAUCAGAGCGACUCCUACGACGACACAAGAAAUCAACUCACUUCAGCGGUUACUCCUGAUUAUCUGCACGUUACCCACAGUCGAGGCAACAUUCAAACAGAAGGGGUGAGAUUUCCCAUUUCAAUAAUAAUAAGCAUAUAAUACAAAAAUGUGCAUUUAACAACCUAAACUUCAUCAAUUAAUACAUUAACUCUUCUUAUAAGAAUUCAUUAAUAACUCAACGAAUUUCUAAUCAUUAUUAACUUCAUAUUCAUCGCAUUGUAUACAUCAUCACAUAGCACAUAAUAAUCAAAACAUGACCGUCAUCAUAUAACAUCAUAAAUCAUCACAUCAUAUACAUCAUAACAUAAGCGGCAACAUAUUCAUCAAUAUCCCAUAGUUUGUUAUUAUCAACAACUUCAACGAUUCGACACAACAACGUCAACCUGACAACACAGCUACGUGAGAGUACACCACCUCUUAUCAUACGACAACGUUAGAGUACACCACCUCUCACAAUACGAUAACGUAAGAGUACACCACCUCUUAUCAUACGACAACGUAAGAGUACAUCACCUCUCACAAUACAAUAACGUAAGAGUACACCACCUCUCAGAAUACGACAACGUAAGAGUACACCACCUCUUAUAAUAUAACAAUGUAAGAGUACACCACCUCUUAAAGAAUAAUAACGUAAGAUUCCAAUACUUUGGAAAGAUAACUUACAACUUAGACCAACACCUGCAAUUUGAUCAAUAUACAACAGCAACAUAGGCAACACAUAAACGUCUCAAGAUAUAACAUCAUCAAAUGAUAAUCAACAUCAACUUAAACAUCUCAUAUGACUCGAUAGUUUGGAUCAACAUCUUACAACUUAAGCAACUUAGACCAACAUUAGCACCUUAAUGAUAUUAAUACGUCACAACAACAAGUUAGCAUCAACAAUAAUCAUCAAUAUAACCAUUACAACGGUCAUUUAGCAUCUUUCACAAUAUAUAAAUAUUUUCACAUUUAACCAUCAACUUAAAACAACAACGUUAAUCAUCUUAUUCAUACUCUCUGAACCUCAUUAUAAUCCUACCCCAAGAGUCGACUCAUAACAUCACGUGCGACAAAAGAUCGCAAGAACCUAAAACAGGGUAUGUUGUAACUGGACAAUUUCGCUAAGACCUCCUUGGCGUAUUUUCAUCAUAACUCAAAAACCAAGAAUCAUUUUCAAGUCACACCAAAGCCACUGGAAAGCUAACACACUUAUCUACAACUUUCAUGUUAACACCUAAGACCAAUUCUGUACCAAUCAAUACCAGUUUUUAUUUCAAAUUCGGGAAAAGUUGUGCUGAAAUUCCUAAAGAUUCACUGUGACCUACGUUCAAUAAUUUGACCAUAACUCAAGUUCUAUAAAUCCUUUUGACGUCAAACCAACGGCAUUAGAAAGCUAACAUCCAUACCUACAACUUUCGUGAAGACUCCUAAACCCAGUUCAGACCUUAAACUUGUCAAACUGAGACAAUAAAAACGCGUUUUGCACACUGACAGCAAAAUCGCAGUUCAGCUGCGAUUUCGCCUUGGGGAAAUCUUUUCGACUUCGUUUUCGAUCCAAUACUUUCCAAACUUGACCCUAAUCAUUACCCUAUGAUUAACCUAUCAUUAGAACACCAAUUAUUCAUCAACCUACUGUAUGCAAAUUCAAAAGGUUCUCAAAUCUAUUAACAACCUAUUACAAUUCUUAAACCUUAAUUCUCAAAUUCUCAAAACUACAACCUAGAAACAAGUUAAAACCAUGAAUCACAAUCAUACACUUAGAAUUAAAGAAAGUUACUCCCACCCUUACCUUAGGUUAGUCGAUUGGCGGUCUCUUCUAUUGGUUCUUCUCUUCUCUUCUCUUCUCUCACUUCUCACUUUCUCCCUUUUACUCCAAAAACGGGUUUCACGAAAUCCUUCUUUUCUAAUUCUAACUCUCCCUUUUUACAUAAAUCUUUAACCUACUUAUUUUCUCUUAUUUUUAAAUCUUCCCUCCAAGUCUCAAUAUUCUAUUCUAAUAUAUAUAAAUUACUUCCAUAAUAAAUAUCAAAUAUAUUUCUAUAGCAAAUAAAAAGUAUAUUUUUACACCAAAUAACACAUAUAUUUCUAUAACAAAUAUAUUUCUAUAGCAAAUAUAUCUUCACACCAAAUAACAAAUAUAUCUUCACACCCUCAGAUUCGUUACUAAUUCUAUUAUAACUAUUCGGCUCUACUAUUUACACCUCAUUCUAUUUAUUUAAUUAAUACACUACUCAACUUACUUACUUAAACCUCAGUUUUACUAAUACGUCUCUAUUCUCUUAUCUCCUAUAUUUCCACUAAACUCUUCUAAAUUCUAAAACAGCCCCACAUCUCAAUAUUAUUUCUAUUUUCAAGACUUAUUAUAUUUAAUAAUAAAAUAACACUACUUAAUAAAAUAACGACACACCACAUAAUCAUUUAAAUCACAUAAAUACUAAAAUAAACCACUUAAUAAAUCACAUAAUCAUAAAUAUAUUCUAAACCUAUUAAAACAAUCGAAUAAAUCAAAUAAUUCAAAGAGGACGUUACAGUCUGUACACAGUUUCUACAUCAAUCUAACCAUUUUCCACCGAUUAAUCAACAAUCUCUCACUUUAACCCUAGUUUUCAAAUUCUCUAAAAUCAAUCCUACACCAGUUAAAUUUCAAUUUCAGAAUCAUACACUUAGAAUUAGAGAAAGUUACUCCCACCCUUACCUUAGUAUUGAUGAUCGGCGGUCUCUCUCCCUCGUGGUUCUUCUCUUCUUCCAAAAAGCAGUUUCACGUAAAAACUCUUCUAACCUAGUUUCCUCCUUAUAUCUAGCCUCAAUCCACUUUAACUUAUUUCCUCUAUUUCCACUAUCAAUAAAAUAUCAACACAUCACCUAACCACAUAGAAUCACAUAAAUCAUCAAAGUGGAUUCUAUAAAUAAUUAAAGAGGGUGUUACAACUCUCCCCCCUUAUAGAAUUUUCGUCCUCGAAAAUACAGAGCACCAGAGAAAUUGAAUCUAAUUAUUGCUUAAAUAUCUUAAACUAUAUAUAACAAAAUAGAAACUUCAAACAAAACAUACAAACCACAUUAAGGUUAAUCAAUCAAACAUGAUCACAUAAUAAACAUAGCUAUUAAUCAGGAAACAGAACGACAAUCAAGACAACAUAAGACAGUAUUACAACUGCUACUCAACAAGACACGACUCGACUCAACUACUUGGCCGGACGGACCAACCUGCUCUGAUACCAAUUGUAACACCCUGUUUUCCCAAAUUGAAAAUUUAUCAUAACAAUCAGAGUAAAACACCUUAAACUGAAUGCUACACUUCUUUCAAACGUAAAUAUAGUAAAAUUACUAUUCAUUUUAAAUCGUUUUAUAAUAUCAAAUUAAAUCUCAAUGCAGCGGAAAAUAUCUUAAUAAAACAUCAUGUUGGCAAAACGGCUUCAACUUAACAACUUAUUAAAAUCCAAACUAAAUAGUUCUUCAACAUAAAAAUCAUAGCAAGUACGUAACAUAUGGAAAACAAGUAAGAUCUCCAUCCCGUUACGUAUCAGAGCGACUCCUACGACGACACAAGAAAUCAACUCAGUUCAGCGGUUACUCCUGAUUAUCUGCACGUUACCCACGGUCGAGACAACAUUCAAACAGAAAGGGUGAUAUUUCACAUUUCAAUAAUAAUAAGCAUAUAAUACAAAAAUGUGCAUUUAACAACCUAAACUUCAUCAAUUAACUCUUCUUAUAAGAAUUCAUUAAUAACUCAAAAUAUGACCGUCAUCAUAUAAUAUCAUAAAUCAUCACAUCAUAAACAUCAUAACAUAAGCGACAGCAUAUUCAUCAAUAUCCCAUGGUUUGUUAUUAUCAACAACUUCAACGAUUCGACACAACAAUGUCAAUAGACAUGGAUGCCAUCAAGGUAAACAUCAAAAUUCCAUCUCGUUCUAGUUGCUUCAGCUGCUUAGUAGACAAGAACUCCACUCCACUUUCUUCUUCAGCAGAGGAGGAGGACACCGAAUUGCUAAAACAGUUGAUAAGAACAUGGUUGUACUCUAACCAGUUCAUACCAAGAAUCACAUUCAUUCCACUCAAAGGUAAACAAACUAAAUCCAUUUCAAAAUCACGAUCAAACAAAGACAAAGGACAUCUCAAACAUACGAGAGAAGUAGUAACCGAACCUUUAGCUGG
rnacentral:lncRNA from 1 species